AUUGAACGCUGGCGGCAGGCCUAACACAUGCAAGUCGAACGGUAACAGGAAACAGCUUGCUGUUUCGCUGACGAGUGGCGGACGGGUGAGUAAUGUCUGGGAAACUGCCUGAUGGAGGGGGAUAACUACUGGAAACGGUAGCUAAUACCGCAUAACGUCGCAAGACCAAAGAGGGGGACCUUCGGGCCUCUUGCCAUCGGAUGUGCCCAGAUGGGAUUAGCUAGUAGGUGGGGUAACGGCUCACCUAGGCGACGAUCCCUAGCUGGUCUGAGAGGAUGACAAGCCACACUGGAACUGAGACACGGUCCAGACUCCUACGGGAGGCAGCAGUGGGGAAUAUUGGACAAUGGGCGCAAGCCUGAUGCAGCCAUGCCGCGUGUAUGAAGAAGGCCUUCGGGUUGUAAAGUACUUUCAGCGGGGAGGAAGGGAGUAAAGUUAAUACCUUUACUCAUUGACGUUACCCGCAGAAGAAGCACCGGCUAACUCCGUG
rnacentral:rRNA from 1 species